UUUUUCGUGGUCUCUGGCUCUGAGUGUGUAGCCUCUCUCCCUCUCUGACAAACAACCCGAGGCAGAGAUACUCAGUGAAAAGCAGAAUUGAAGACGAAAAGGAGAAAUAGAGUCCUGAUGGGCCGUGGCGGCAGUCUGAAAAGAAACACAUGUUCUCGAGUGCAUAAGUUCUAGCCUGGAGACUGGGUCCUGGUUCGGAUGUGGAAGGAGGACAAACUGACCCUGAUCUGGGAAUGACUGUUCCAGAUCAUGUUGACUUCAGAUACGGUGAUAUACACCAAAGAGAGAGGUUGGACACAUCACACUCGAGUCAAAGGUCCUGUGGAUGAGCCAAAGAAGUGGGCAGUAGAGACUGAUCCAGGAACCUUGAAAGUGCGGCUGAAAUUACAGGAAACUUAGCAAAGACUGAUGAAUUGUUCAUGUAAAAUCUUUUUGACUUGUCUCAUUUGGGGAACUCUCUUGGGACUUUUCUUGUUUAUAUUAGAUAUUACAUUUUGCUGAACUGUAUUGUUAGGAAUUAGGAAUAUUAUAUACCAUUAGGAAGAAUGGGGGUGUGAACCAAACCCAAGGGAUUGGAGACUGUGUCUUGUAUAUGCAUGUAUGAUUUUAUGCGGGUACACCUUUUGUACUGGUACCUCGAGAGCAGUGGGGUAUGAAAAUAUCUUUCAAACCCUGAUCCAAACAAUAGCCACUAGUUUUAAAUUGACUGACUGCUGGAUAUGUAGGGGACCCGAACUCACACGAUGGCCCUGAAUACCUGUCCCUUUAUUUCCAGCCUGGAUAUUGAGUAAUAGAUCAGUUGUACAUGAUGUACAGGAUUUUGGUCAGAUCAGGAGAAACAUCAGUGGAAACUAACUACUGCUGUCCCAGGAGGACAUUGUUUAAAUGAAACAGGCACAGGGCUUUGGAUGGGAGAAAGUAAAUGCAAAUGGACUUUUACCCACCGGCCAGAGAAGGUAGAUAUUAUAGAUUGUAGUAAAUAUAAAAAUAGAUAGAAUAAAACAAGUAUUGUUCGUGAAGAUGGGUCAGUGAUUAAAUGUACUCAUCCACAUGCAGAAGAAGGUAGUGAAGAAUGCUUGAAGGAAUUUAAAAAGAAACCAACUUGUCAAACACCCUGAGAUUUAUGGAGAUGUUUAAGGUUAAACAGUACAAAGUCAGGUACUGCUAGUACUGUAAUGAGAUGGAAGUGGGAAAAUAGUAAUGGAACUAUUAGAAAAAUGUUUGGUAAUUUUUGGAAUAAUAUAGAUUUUACUGAGGAAAAUGACUGUAAUUGUACUUGGAUGCCUGAAAAAUAACUUUGGAAGUGUAAUUCAAAACCCAUGAAAGGAGGACCGUUAGGCUCAUGGGAUGUUAUAUAUUUCCCCCCUUCAACAGGAGUUUUUAUCUUCUGGCAUGAGAAAACCCAGCUUUAAGGGGACACUAUUGAUUUGUGCCAGAUGGCAUAUACUCACCACCAGAAAUUGGACUGAGGAGUUGUUAUGCAAGUACAAUAAGGCCCAAGUUUUUCUUCCUUCCAGAAGAUACUGACAAACAAUUAGGAAUAUGACUAGUAUAGAUACUUCUCUGAUUCAAACAGGUGAUGCUAAUGGAUGGGGAAAUACAUGGCUCCCAGAAAGAAUCAUCAAAGAAUAUGGGCCAGCCACAUGGGCUUAGAAUGGAAGCUGGGGGUACAGGACACUAAUAUAUUAAAUAGGCUAAUUAGAUUACAAGCAGUUCUGGAGAUAACAACUAACCACACUGCUCAGGCUUUUGAUUUGCUAGCUGAUCAAGUCACUCAAACACAAGAAGCUAUUUUACAGCAUCGACUAGUUUUAGAUUAUUUGCUAGAAGAUGAAGGAGGAGUCUGUGGAAAAUUAAAUUUGUCCACUUGUUGCAUGCAAAUUGAUGAUAAUGGACAAAUGGUAAAAAAUAUUGCAGAAUAGUUCAUGUGCCUGCAAAGGUGUGGAAAUCCCCUUUUUCUAAUAGUUGGUGGUCCUGAUUUGAUGGUAGCUGGUGGAAACAACUUUUAUGGUAUGGACUAAUUGCAAUCAGUGGUAUUAUAUUGUUACCAUUAUGUUUACCCUGUAUAAUUACAUUAACAACCAGAAUAGUUCAACGGUCCCUAUUGAAAUUAUUGCAUCCAGAGAAUGCUAUUAAGAUGAUAAUCCUCCAGAAAAGAGGCUUGAGGGUUCUGGAAGGAGAUAAUUCUGAUAGUGAACUUGACAAACAAUGUGUAAGUCUGUGAACUGACUUUGAGCAAUGUGUAAGUUCUUCAUAGACAAUAUGAUAAAAAUCAUUUACAUAUUAGAAGGGGGGAGCUGUGUGUGUGUGUGUGUAGUUGAAGAACUUCCAGCAGCUGUAUGUAGUAAAGAUAAGGUGAAGAACUUCCAGCAGCUGAACUUCCAAGGACAUUUAACUUCCUCUUCUGUAUUUUUAGUUUCUCUAGGUCUCUGUGACCUGCGUGAGUAUGUUGAGUGGUAGCCAAUAUAUACUUAGAUUUUAGACAUAUGUAUUUAACCUUGAAUGAUGACAUUUAUCAUUGUUCAAUUUACCAACAUCUGGCCAAUUAGUUGCUUGAUGUAUGGUUCCUCCCAGAACUAGGAAUCUGCUGUUUUUAGCAUGAAUAACAUCUAAUUAAGGGGUGAGGGGGGGCACCUAUCUCUUAAUGUUCUCCAACUCAUGAUGUAAUCCUUUAUAUCUAAACCCUAUAAAAACUGAAUACCUUAUCCCCUUCUUUAGCCCUUCUACCUUGAGCUCUCUUUCUUUCCCUCCUCGAGGUGGAAUUGCUCAUUCUCAUGAGAAUUAAUUAAAUGAACAACUUUUCUGCUUUUUACUUAGAGAGGUCUCUGAGUAAUCAUUUUUGGAUAGGAUUUCUAUCCCUCACAGUUUUAAGUGGGAAAUAUUUAAACUUCCCCUAUUUCUGCCAUUCAUAGUCUACCAGAAGAGGGUGCAUUUUAAAUACUGCCUGAUGGUUCAACACCUUUAUUCCAAUACUAAUUGUAAUAUCCAAUCUCUGUCUAAAAAUUUAUUCCAUACCUUUGGGGUAUACAUCUAUUAUUUAAUUUUUCCAAUAUGCAGGAGUGAUUUCUAUAAUAGGUACACAGAAAUCUUUUCCUUUACUUCCAUCCAUUAACAAUUCCUGAAAUUACUGACUAAUUUACAGAAGGAAAAUCUCUCUAUUCCAGUAAUAAGUAAAUCUUCAUCGUUUUACUCCCAGCCAGUCCCAUUUUUCAAACUUACUAGGGGUUCCCAAUAGGGUCUAGAAAAAAGCACCCCACGCACCCCUUGUCCUCAUUUUCCUCAAAAGAUAAGAAGGGACACCACCUUUUCCUCCUUCUUUAAUUCCAAACACUCCCUCUUCAAAUAUCCAUUCUUCCCACAAUAAUAACAAAUGAACUGACCACUCACACAGAGCUAACUCUUCCUACCUCCAAAUUUCCAGUAAGGGGGAAUUUUUUCAAUAAUCCUUUUUGCAUUGAGUUACUUGCUCAGUCUAACCCAGUCUCCAAAUGUUACUUCACCCAUUCCCUUUUAAUUCUGGGAGAAAACAAGACAAUUCUUAAAAUUCAGGCAGAACAGAAUCUAUCACAAACAAUUAAGUUUCCAAUUUUAACAUAAAUGCUAAUUUGAAAGUUAUUUCGAAAUUAAUCAGUACUUUAUUUUGUGAAGUUCCCUAAAAUCUGGCUACAUGUUUCGUUCAAAAAAAAUCACCUUUUAGUUGUUUUUCCAGUUCACAUAAAUCUAUAUGCUUUUGUAAGUCAGGAAGGGCUUAAGGCUAAUUUUGUUUUGUUUUGUUUUCAAAUGGGUUUAGUACUUUGAGAUUCUUCCUGGCAUAGUUCCACAAGCCAGAGUUAUUCUUAAAGUUACAGGCUCCUUGCUUUAAGGAGUUUUAAAAAUAAUAUACUGCUUUUCCAUUUUCCUAACCAUUUCCAAACUCUCUAAUUCAUUUCAGCCUAUACUCUUCUCAUUUCAACAUGCAUAAACUUUCUCACUUGCCUUUCUAUAUCCAUAUCCUUUUAGUGGACUCUGAUGAAAGCCCCUUUAAAAUGGCCUCUCUCAUUUCUUUCUCACUCUUAUCUGAUGCUUCUUCUACCCUCUUCUACUUGUUCUUAACAUCUUCACUAUGAUGAAUAUAUUUUCCCCUUCUCUCUCCCUUUCUGUUGCAAAACUACUGCAGUCAGCCAGAGGCCGAGAGAGAAAGAGAAAAGAUGCUCAUUCCUUGCACUGUCCUAAUCCCCAGGUGCCAAAAAUUAGCUCCCAAAUUACCUAAGAGAAAAGAUCAGUACAUUCAUCUAUCCAAUGUGACUUCAGUUUCACAAAUUCUAUAGUCAGAUUUUCAGUUUCAAAUGAAUGGCAAUCUCAAAGCUGUCUCCAUGGGACAGAUUUCCUCUCCUUCCACGAAAGAGAAACCGAACCUGGUCAUUCUUAUUUCUGAAAGUGCAGGCUCCCGUUCCAUAAAUUCUUUGACAUUUCAAUCGAUUUUCCUAUAUUCCUUUGCUGUCCUACAUUUCCCAAAUCUAGGGUAGUCUAAUAUUUAAAGGGACCUAAGACAGUCACUUCCUUCAGCACACACUAAGUCUCAUGCUAAGGAAUUUAGAACCCUGAGUCAAGGGUCAAAAAUCCAGACAGUAGAGCAACAGAAUGGCUUGUAACUUUUAAAGAUCUUACCUUGAGCCACUGUGAAAGAACUACUACUCUGAAUGAAUUCCAGCAAUUCAACCUGAUAUUUCUCCAAGCCAGUAACACAGAGGCUGAAUUCUUAUCUCUCACAAGCUUGCUAACUUUUAACACAGAACAGAGUGAAAAGCAGACAUACACAUAUAGAAAUCUCUUAUUUCCAAUUUUACAUAAUUUUUUUUUUUUUGCAUUUAGAUAAUUCUAUUUUUUUGGAGUUGUUUCCUUCAAUUUAUAUUUUUUCUAUUUCAUCAAAUUUGUUUUUUACGUUUUUUUUUUUUUUUUUGGUUAAUUAAAUCUGGGAGUGGGGAACAGGGGAGAUUAUCAUGAGCUUCCUCUGCAGGACAACAGGGACUUCUCACUGAGUAUGCUGGGGCCAGUGCUGCAGGAUUUCUCACUCUGCUAAGUAACCCUGACAAGCAACCCCUCUCAUCCUGGGAUUCAGGAGCUCACAAUUUGCCUCCUGUGAUUGUGUUGCAUGUCUCACAUCUGGUGUGCUGAGCUGACCUUCUGAAUCAGAACAGAAGAACCAAGGUUACUGUAUUUGGCUAAGAGACUCCUGCUGAAUUCCCUGUAUGGAUCUCCCCACACUUGCUGUCUGACGUUCCCCUCCUGAAGUCUUUCCAAGAUACCUUAAGCUGAAAAUUACUCCAACAGUUCCUGGGUUCUGUCACUCCUAAAUCCAUUCAGAGGCUUGAUCUAGUGAUUCUGAAGGAAACCAGGAAGAGCUCAAGCAAUGUCCGCUCUACUCACUGCCGUCUUGGUUCCGUUCUGUGCUUUAUUGAAUUGGCAGAUGGGUGAAGGAUGGAUGAGAAGGCAGAGACCAGGAGCAGGGAGAUCAGGGGAGACAUGAUUUCACUUAUUUGGUCAAAGCUCAUAAGAACUUAGAUUGGAUAGAAGUUUUUAGAAUGGAGAAAGGAAAGACUUAAGAGAUGUUGAGAAGAUAGAAUAUAUUACUCCUAGGAGCAAAUGGAACAGAGAUAAAAGAUGAAUUCAGAGAAGACAGAAUCAGGAAGAAGGCAUUACACCCCACCAUCAAUGCCCUUACUUUUCUUCUGUUUUCUCUACUAGGAAGAAUGAAUGAUCUUUGUUUUGAAAAGAUAAAAUAAAUUAUGAUCAACUAGUAGUCCAAGCACAGAAGUGAGAUGGUAAGAAAUUAUAUAAUCUGACACUGAGAUCAAGAGGAACAGAGAUUAUGAGUUGGUCAGGACACACAACCCAUUUGGUUCAAUAUCCUCAUUCUAUUUUAUUUUUUAACAUAUUUUAUUUGGUGCUUUCUUCUUUUACACUGUUGUUGUCUCCCAAUAAUUCUCUUCCCAUCACCACCCCCAACAACCUUUCCUUGUAAUCUAAUGUAACCUAGAUUAGAUCACCACUGUCAACAGAGAUUUUAUGAAAAUUUGUUAGACUGGUAAACAUGUAUGAAGGCAAAUGUUAUGAUUUACUCAAGACUUUAAAGAUAUUGAGGUGAACUUUCCCCCAGAGAUCACGUAGUAGAAACCAAGCAGGACUGUAUGCUGCUCUGACCUCCUUCUUCCCUUUCUAAGCUCAUAAAGGAACAUGAGAUGAUCAUUGACCUUGUCAUCUCCAGCAAGGGAAAUCUAGAGGAACUGAAAGUUCUUUGAGGAGAGUACUUGAACCAGGAAAUAUAAGAAAAAGAGAAGAAGAGCUUUUAGUGUAGGGGAAAAGAUUAAACGAGUUCUAGGGAUAGAACACCAAUCAGUCAGAGCAGCAGAUCUGUUGGUGACAUGAAUGAAGUCCAGGCUACACCUCUUUUUAUCCCUUCUUUCCUCAGAAUGCAGCAUUGGAUAAAUUUCUAUUUAGGGUUUAAGGAUCAGUGUCUUCUUUUAGCAUCCUUCAGACCAUGUGUGAAGAUGGCAGGAAGAAAGGAAAAAAGUUCCACCCUCACUGCCUGCCCUUUUACAAUGUACCAUACCUUCUUUCUUUUUCUGAAAUGGUAAACAACUUAUUUUUUCAUUUAUUUUUAAUACACAUUGCUUAGUGAAUCAUGCUGGGAAAGAAAAUUCAGAACAAAAGGGAAAAACCAUGGAGAAAGAAAAAUAGAAAAUAGAAGUGAACAUAGCAUUAGUUGAUUUACACUAAAUCUCCAAAGUUCUUUUUCUGGCUGCAGAUGACAUUUUCAGUCCAAAGAAUAUUGGGAUUGCUUUGAAGCACUAAACCAUGGAGGAGAAGCAAGUCUUUCACAGUUUGUUAUCACACAUUCUUGCUGUUAUUGUAUACAAUGUAUUCCUGGUUCUGCUUGUUUUGCUCAGCAUCAGCUCAUGUAAAUCUUUCCAGGCCUUUCUAAAAUCAAUUUAUUCAUCAUUUUAUAGAAUAAAAAUAUUCCAUUAUCUUCAUAUACCACAACUUAUUCGGCCAUUCUCCAAUUUAUGGGCAUCUGCUCAUUUUCCAAUAGCUUAUUACAAUUAUUUUUAUGCAUGUUGGUCCUUUUCCCUUCUUUAUGAUUUCCUUGGAAUACAGACCCAGUGGUGGCACUUCUGGGUCAAAAGAUAUGCACAGUUUAAUAGUCCUUUGGACAUAGUUCCAAAUUGCUCUUCAGAGUGGUUGGAUCAUUUCACAACUCCACCAACAAUGAAUUGGUGUCCCAGGUUUCCCACAUCCCCUUGAAUAUUUAUCAUUAUAUUUUUCUAUCAUCAUAGUCAGUCUGAGCAAUGUGAAGUGGUAUCUCAGAGUUGUUUUAAUUUGCAUUUCUCUAAUCAAUAGUGAUUUAGAAUAUUUUUUCAUAUGACUAUAAAUGGCUUUAAAUUCAUCAUCUGAAAAUUGUUCAUAGGGUUUGACUAUUUAUCAAUUGGGAAUGACUUGUAUUCUUAUAAAUUUGACAGACUUCUUAAUAUAUAUUAGAAAUAUCUUUAUCAGAAACACUGGCAGUGAAUAGUUUUUCCCAUCUUUGUACUUCCGUUUUAAUUUUCUUUCUGUUGGUUUUGUGUAUGCAAACACACCUUUUAAUUUAAUGUAAUUAAAGUUGUCCAAUUUAUCUUUCAUAACUCUUCUUUGGUCAUAAAUUCCUUCCUUGUCCAAGGAUUUGAUAAGUAAAUUAUCCCUUGCUCUCUUAAUUUGUUUAGGGUAUCAUCCUUUAUGUCCAAAUCAUGUACCUAUUUUGACCUUAUUUUAAUGAGGGGGUGUGAGAUGUAGGUUUGUGCCAAGGUUCUGACAUAUUAUUUUCCAGUUUUGCCACCAAUUUUUGUCAAAUAGUGAGUUCUUAUUUCAGAAGCUGAGUUUGGGGGAGGGUUAUCAAAUAUUAAAUUACUUUGGGUCUUGAUUAUUGUGUCAUGUGUAUCUGAUCUAUUCCACCAAUUCACCACUCUAUUUCUUAGUCAGUACCAAAUAGUUUUGAUCAUUCUUACUUUAUAAUAUAGUUUUAGAUUUGGUACUGAUAAAUCAUCAUCCUUUGUUCUUUCAGAUGGAUUUUAUUAUUACUUUUUUUAGUUCUAUAAAAUAAUUUUUUGAGUUUGAUUGGAUAUUUCUUUCAAUAUCUAUUUGUUGCUAUUUAUGCUCUUUGAUACUUUCAACAAAGUAGAUUGAUAUUCAAUCUGAUUUUCCUAAUCUCAUAAAUUUGGUUAUAAUUGAUUGAAAAAGAAAGUCAGACCAAGGGAGAAAGAUAGGGGUACAUGUUGAAUAUAUGGACAGAGAUUGAAUAUAGAUAAAAAAAAGAAACUGUAAUUGACAUGUAAAUGACUUUUGGACUAAAACAUCAUUUAAAAAUUAUGGCCCAAUAGAUUUUUGACUUACAAUAAAAAUUAAUUUCUAUUUUUCUUCAAAAGCAGUCUUAAGAUUCUCCUAUCAUGUUCCAUUUCAUCUUUAUGGAAUUGAGCCUUUUGAUUUUUUUCUAGUUCUAAUUUAAAAUAUAGAAAUAAAUUUGAUGCAGAACCAAAUAUAAGAUUAUUUUUGCUUGAUGUUGAGCCAAAUAUCAUAAACCAUUUUUCCAAAUGAAGAAAUUUAAUAUUAAAAUUAAAUUUAUAUAUGACUAUGAUCUUACAAAAAACAUCUCAUAUCUUCAAAAUCUAUGAGUUUUUUUUUUUAUUGAUUACAAUAUGCCACAGACUUUGAUAAAUAUGGUGGACACAAAAGAAAAGAGAAAGAAAAAGAAAAAUAAAUUCCAGACCUUUAGUCCAAACCAUAUGGGAAAGAACGCUUCCCUAUUAUUCCCAACUGGACCACACUGAAAAUUUGAUAUUUAGCAUUUAUUUAUCUGUGACUCCAAUAGAAACUGAUGUAUGUCCUACCAACAGUUUCACAAUAAGAAAAUAUUAAGUUAACUUAUAAUUUUAAAUGUGAAUAAGUUGAGCAUUCCAAUAAAACUGGAAAGUGUGAAAGACUGGAAAAGGAAAUAAAGCAUCACAGUGGGUAACUUACAAGAAAAACUAUCAAAAAGCAAAGAAAUAUAUAGAAGAAAAAUAAAAGGUCAGAAUUUCUAUAACUAUGUAAACAUUCAUGAUAACAACGGACAUCUUGAAUUUCUCACUGACAUAAUUGGAAUGUCUUCUGAUGCUCUUUCUCUAUUACAGAUAAUGCUUCCUAUUUGGUUUUAGAUAGAUACUAUUUGUCACACUAAGGAAAAGUCCAUUAAUUCUUGUUUUUCAAUCUUAAAAAAAUCUGAAAUUCAAAAAACUUAAGUUGUUGAUUUCUCAAAAGCUUUGAUAUCCCCCAAAGCUUCACAUCCCCAAAGGAGAUGCAGAGGGCCAAAAAGUCUGGACCAGGCCUUCCCCAUCAAACCUCAGUCUAAGCCUUUCUAUCCUACAUCUUCAUUGCUAAGUUCAUGUGAACUUUGGUGUUCCUAGGGAACAAGCUUUGCUUGUUCUCCCUCACAGAUGAGAUUGGAAGGAUCUUAAUGAAGCUGGGGUAACUGGCCCCCAACCUCAGACAUUACGGAAUGGGAAUGAUGGGGAGGGGAGAUUCAUCCAUCUGUCCUUAGGAGGCAACCCAGAAGCUGGUACUGUGCUGAAGAGACCCAAAGAGACAAUCCAGAAGGCCAUUUUUUUAUGUCUUCACCAAUGCAUGUUAAUGGACUGGAAAAAAACAUGCCCAGCCCUGACCUCACCAAGCCCUUUGUCACUUCCCCAUCUCUAACCCAGCCAGGGCUCGUUUCCUGUUGCUUCCCACAGAGGUUCCCUGAUCCCCAAUCCACUAGUUCCAGUUCUGUUCUCCAGCUGAUGGUCUUAGGAUCUAUAGCAAGGAGCUCUCUCAUCACACACCAGGAGGUGAGGGAUCCCUGUCCUGGGGAGGGGGCCUUCUGGGCUGUAACAGAAGAAUAUUCCACCAGAGUUAUCUGGCUGGGAGAAAGGGUCUGAUGAAAAAUUAUGAAGUCUGGGUAAGGUCCCUGUUGACCUCAGGUUCAUCCAGAAUCAGGAUCAGCAAAAGUCCUUGGUCUUUAGAGGGAGAAGUAAAGGAGAUGGACGAAACUCCAUGAGGCUUGCCACCAACCUCCUCUCUCCUCCUCAUUUUCCUCCAAAGUGACUCUGGCUUGUCUUACUCCAGCCCCUAAUCUCCUCUACAAUUCUCUGUAUACACCAAAAGAUCGAGCCAGCACAGAAUAGUGAAAGGGACAUUUUCCAUGCAUAUGCUAAUUAGCCUUAUGUGCUCUGUAGUCUGAUUCCAGUGCACCUAUUUAGAGUUUCAGCCCUUUACAUCUUCUGCUUUCUUUUGUUUUAGAACACAUGUGGUCACUCCAUCCCUGACUUCUCAGGGAGGUGAGAACCUCAAAAAGGAGGUAAUCAUGCCCUCCCUGACUUUUCAGGAUGGGAGGUGAAAGCACCAAAGGGAAGUGGGGACUGCUAAUGGCUUUCUGGGCUAAAGAGUCUUACUAGAAACAGGUAUGCACAAACCCAUCAGCAUGGGAGGUAUUACACAAGCACAUAGCAAUAAAGUACAGGCUAUUAGUGGUGACUCUCCCCACAGUCAGUGCAGGCCAAUGUGGUAUAACAAACAUGAAUUGUACAUGCAAGUAGUCAUAUAACAAACAAUAUGAAUCAACAUGGUGUUGUAAAAGAUUUCCAGAAGUCCUAGAAGGAGGGUAUGUAAACAACAGUCACACAUACGCCUCCUUCAGCAGCCAAGAGAUAGACCAAAACCAAUCUAUUGUCCAUUGUUUCAUGUGUCAGAGAAUCCAAUGAUUCCUGAGGGUCUUCAAGUCCUGCAGCCUACAGCCCUUUACAACAAUCUUUUCAUGUCUCAGGGAUUCCAAUGAUUCCUGAGGGUUUUGAAGUACAACAAUUUUUGAUGUCCAUGAGUCAAAUGCCAUAACUGCCAGGCUCUUUCAGUGAUGGGCACAGUCAGCAAUGGAACCACCCGAUGUUUCUUGGGUCUUCUCCUGCAUUUCAAGGGUCUGUUCCAUCUCUCUCCAAUGGACAAGGCAAUUAUGCCUCAUUGGCACCCAUCUGAUUCCUUCUCCAUCUGUGGAGAUACAAGCAAACCCUCUCCCCCAAGCAGUUAACCUAUCUGGUCCCUUCCAUUCACCACUUUCUGGGUCUCUCCACAUCACCUGGCGAUUAUCUAAAGAUAGUAGAGCUGCUCGCACUGGACACUGCCCUUCCAGUGGGUUAUAAAACCUUAUGCUGGAGCCAGUGCAUCUUUAUCAAAAAUCAAGAAGUUAAUAGUAUGAAAAGCUAGAUUUAAAAGUUCUCUAGGGUUACGUGUGGAUCCCCCUUUCUUUUGUUUUUGUAGGAGUGUCUUAAUGUCUCUGUUUCUCCUCUCUACCAUUGCCUGUUCUUGAGGAUUAAAGGGUAUGCCAGUGGUAUGUAAAAUCUUAUACUGUGCACAAAAGUGUGCAAACUGUUUAGAAGUCUAUGCAGGCCCAUUAUCUGUUUUUAUUGCUUGUGGCACACCCAUGAUUGCAAAUGCUUGUAUAAGGAAUUCAGUGACCACUAAGGCUGUCUCUUUUGCUCCUGAAUCCUGAAAAGGUAUCUCCCAUAACAUGGAUAAAAGACAGACGACCAAAAGAUUUAUAAUGAGUCACAUCCAUUUGCCAAAUUUCAUUGGGUCUCAAACCACAAGGGUUCUUCCCUGGAGGGAGUGUAAGGAGCGUGGAAAGAAAGGCAAAUUGUACAGGCUUUUACUAUGCUCCUAGCUUCCUCUCUUGUUAUUCCAAAUUGUAAAUGUAAAGCUCUAGCAGCCUGAUGAUAGAUUCCUGGGCUUCUUGAAAUAAAGGAGUAUUGACCAACAUAGUUAGAAGGUGAAUAAGAAAUGCAUUCUUAUUAGUAAGUUCAUUUCAAACCAGUUCAAGAAUGUGACUCUCUCCAUGGGAACUUAGCCUUUCUUUAACCCUAUGAGACCAGGAAUAUGCCACGUAUGUUUGGCUUCACCUCUACAAUCCCAGGAACUAGCCACUCCUUGGGACACAAUGGAUGCCAGUAAGGGUUGGUCCCCUCCCUGACAUUUACAUUUAUCAAGUCAUAUCUUGGAAGCCCAUCUGGCAUUUCCUUCUCCUAUACCUAACUUUCUAUAUGUAAGCACGUUGGCUCUGUGCCUUCUUUGUUUUCAAGCACUUAAAUUCAGUCUAGUUUUAAUUGUAUUUAGAACCUCACCCACGGCGAUAAUCUUUCUGCCUGGGACCUCUCCCCAUUCGGGACUCAAAGGCUGUUCAUUCGAGGUUCUCCAGCUUUUGCAACUUACAAGUUGCAAUUUAGAGAUUUAGAGACAGUGCUCCUCUGGACUGGUGAUGUUUUCUCUCUCUUCUAUUUUAAUCGUAGUUCUCCUUAUUCUUUGUCUUUUAUGUAUUAUUUACUGCAUUGAUUGUUAUUGUAGGCAAUCCAUUCCGUGUAUUGUGUAAUUAAAUUUUUACUUUCACUUUAAUUGAGUCAGAGAGUAUCAUUUAUAGGAGCAAAUCUGAUCCUUUCCUUAAUUAACAUAACAGAAAUUGGUGUAGUCGGCAGGAUUCGCUAUAUACAAUGCCUCUCUUUAAAAGAAAUACUAAUCCCUCUCCUCCUUCCCCUUCCCCCUUCCCCUGCCCCGCACCAGUUGAAGUUCCAGGUUGGGAGAACACGCCCUUUUCUUCCUUAGUGAAGAUCUUGAUACGGAACUCGGGAGUGUGUGAAAACUGGAGUAGUUGAGUGAGAAAUGGCGAAUGUUUAAUUAACAUUCCAAUAGAGAAAGGGAAGGAAAUGAAUGGUAUCUGCCAGAGAAGAUGGUCUUUGUUAACAGCAUAUAGGACGAUUUGUCAAGAGUUAGAUAGAAAAGAGGAGGAGAGAGUUCAUGGGAAAAGUAAUGUCUGAAUUGCAGGGAUGGAUGUUAAAUUCACACUGCCAAAAUUUCAUUUUGGAAGAUCAAGCUCAUAAUUACCAGGGCAUUGCUGAAAAAACGGCUGUCCAAGUAGCUCAAUAUAAGUAUAGGAACAGGAGAGGGAAAGUUAAUAAAAAGAAAGUGCAUGCUGUAAUUGCCUCUGCAAAAAUGGAUUGGGAUCCUGACAAAUGGGAUGGAGAUAUAUGGGAUGAGGAUGAUGAAAGUGGGAAAGAAAUAAUAGAAGAUGAAGGUUCUCAGAUGGAGGAAGAGGCUAGACCCAUCAUUAGAAGAAGGGCUGAAAGAGAAGGCAAUAAUCAACCAAAAGUCACUGAGAUUACUGAGGAUUUUUAGCAGAGGGAAGUUACUGAUUUACUUAGCAGGUUUUCUCAGAGAACAGGGGAACCAGCUAUCUCAUGGCUGGUUAGAUUAAGUGAUGGAGGAGCUGGUGGAGUCUGGCUAGAUCCUCAGGAUUGUUUAAAAUUCAUCAGUUUAACUUCAAAUCCUUUUGUACAACAGGCCAUUAGAGAUCAUAGUCAAAUUGGGCUUAAUCAGAAUGAUAGUAAUACCACUCUUUUAGAACUAAUUGCUCUGGGUUUGAGAAAUCAGUAUCCUGACUCCUCCAUGUGGCCUAAUGCUGCUUGCCCCUGGUAUACUUUGAGAGAGGCAAUUCAAAGACUGAAAGAGGAAGUCAUGAAA
rnacentral:lncRNA from 1 species